GACGAACGCUGGCGGCGUGCCUAAUACAUGCAAGUCGAGCGAAGCGGCGGAUGGGUGAGUCACGCGUGGGUAACCUGCCCUUAAGGCUUGGAUACCAUUUGGAAACAGAUGCUAAUACCGGAUAAUAACGGAUUGAACUGCGAUGCAUUAGCUAGUUGGUAAGGUAACGGCUUAGCAAGGCGAUGAUGCAUAGCCGGGUUGAGAGACGGAGCGGCCACAUUGGGACGGAGACACGGCCCAAACUCCUACGGGAGGCAGCAGUAGGGAAUCUUCCACAAUGGACGAAAGUCUGAUGGAGCAACGCCGCGUGAGUGAAGAAGGUUUUCGGAUCGUAAAGCUCUGUUGUUGGUGAAGCGGUAAUCAACCAGAAAGUCACGGCUAACGACGUGCCAGCAGCCGCGGUAAUUC
rnacentral:rRNA from 1 species